GAUGAAGAACGCAGUGAAAUGCGAUAAGUAAUGUGAAUUGCAGAAUUCAGUGAAUCAUCGAAUCUUUGAACGCACAUUGCGCCCGCCAGUAUUCUGGCGGGCAUGCCUGUUCGAGCGUCAUUACAACCCUCAGGCCCCCGGGCCUGGCGUUGGGGAUCGGCGGAAGCCCCCUGCGGGCACAACGCCGUCCCCCAAAUACAGUGGCGGUCCCGCCGCAGCUUCCAUUGCGUAGUAGCUAACACCUCGCAACUGGAGAGCGGCGCGGCCACGCCGUAAAACACCCAACUUCUGAAUGUUGACCUCGAAUCAGGUAGGAAUACCCGCUGAACUUAAGCAUAUCAAAAAGCGGAGGA
rnacentral:misc_RNA from 1 species